rnacentral:rRNA from 1 species
CAGUAGCCGCGGUAAUACGAAGGGGGCUAGCGUUGCUCGGAAUGACUGGGCGUAAAGGGCGCGUAGGCGGAUGGUACAGACAGAUGUGAAAUUCCUGGGCUUAACCUGGGGGCUGCAUUUGAUACGCAUUGUCUAGAGUGAGGAAGAGGGUCGUGGAAUUCCCAGUGUAGAGGUGAAAUUCGUAGAUAUUGGGAAGAACACCGGUGGCGAAGGCGGCGACCUGGUCCUUGACUGACGCUGAGGCGCGAAUGCGUGGGGAGCGAGCAGGAUUAGAUACCCCGGUAGUCCCUGUCUCUUAUAC